AGAUGGCUAAGGUUGUCUAUGUGUAUAUUGAAGCUAGAGGAGAGUUGGAACAUGAAGGGAAAUUGGAUGAUCCCAGUGUAGAAGAACUGCUUGGUUAGUUUGGAAGCAUGGAAAUUUUGAGGGAGUCAGUAAAGGUUCUGUAUCUAAGGACUGAUGACUGAUAUGAUGGUGACAGUGAAGAUGUAUCUUCUUUUUAUGAACCUUGCUUUCCAGGUGAUGCAUACCAGUUAAAGUAGAACUAAUCUGCUGUCCCUACAGGUCUUAAAAUCAAACUUAAACUCAGGGUUUCUUUUGUUAUUUGUUUGUUUGUUUGUUUGUUUGUUUGUUUUUGUUUUUGAGACAGGGUCUUGCUUUGUCACCCAGGCUGGAGUCCAGUGGCAUGAACACAGCUCACUUCAACCUCAACCUCCUAGGCUCAAGCAGUCCUCUUGCGUCAAUCCUCUCACCUCAGCCCCCCAGUCUUGCUUCCAGAUGCUGAUUCCUUCAGGCCAUCGUAUUAAUGCCAAGAAUGCAAGUAACUGUUAAAAGUCGGGUUAAGAUGUGGUCACUGGGCCUGAGAGAUGCUAAUUGCCUGCCUCCUUCGGGAUUGCCUUUCCCAGGUUCUGGUCAACGGGGUACGAGUCAAAGUGAUGUGUACAACUUCUGGGCCUUGUCCUGCCCACCCUGUCCCUCUUCUCUCAGGCUAGAACUUGGAUGUGGUAUUAGUGAGCCUAUUGCCACCAUUAGAAAAGUGUAAUACUUGGGGAGUGGCAGAACAAGGCAGAGGAACCUGGUGGCCUUGGGAAAGAGAGCUGCCCACCCUCUCCGAACUGCCUGUUAUAAUAACUUGAUGUUAUCUGAGCUGCUCAUGUUUAGGGCUCUUUGUUACAGAACUUUAGCCUCUACCCCAACUAAUAUAUAAAACACUAGAGGCCCUUCAAAGUCCAGAAAAUGCUAAAUAUUAACUUUCAUAUGAUAGUAUUUGUGAUUCAGAGCUUCCACUUGUCCAUUCUUUAGUGCAGGAAUUUUUAAAUGUACUCACAGAUCUGGUGUCUGUAGUUAUAUGUCAGUCUUAGAAACUCUGUAAACAGAAAUGUCAAGACUUGCCCCAACUUCAACACAUGAUAGACAUGGCCUGAGAUCUUAGGAGCCUCGGUGCAUUCCUUC
rnacentral:lncRNA from 1 species